rnacentral:rRNA from 1 species
GAGUUUGAUCCUGGCUCAGGAUGAACGCUAGCGGCAGGCUUAACACAUGCAAGUCGAGGGGUAUUCUAGCAAUAGGAGAGACCGGCGCACGGGUGCGUAACGCGUAUGCAAUCUACCUUUCACAGAGGGAUAGCCCAGAGAAAUUUGGAUUAAUACCUCAUAGUAUAAUGACUCGGCAUCGAGAUAUUAUUAAAGUCACAACGGUGAAAGAUGAGCAUGCGUCCCAUUAGCUAGUUGGUAAGGUAACGGCUUACCAAGGCGACGAUGGGUAGGGGUCCUGAGAGGGAGAUCCCCCACACUGGUACUGAGACACGGACCAGACUCCUACGGGAGGCAGCAGUGAGGAAUAUUGGACAAUGGGCGCAAGCCUGAUCCAGCCAUGCCGCGUGCAGGAUGACGGUCCUAUGGAUUGUAAACUGCUUUUGCACAGGAAGAAACAACGCUACGUGUAGCGUCUUGACGGUACUGUGAGAAUAAGGAUCGGCUAACUCCGUGCCAGCAGCCGCGGUAAUACGGAGGAUCCAAGCGUUAUCCGGAAUCAUUGGGUUUAAAGGGUCCGUAGGCGGUUUAGUAAGUCAGUGGUGAAAGCCCAUCGCUCAACGGUGGAACGGCCAUUGAUACUGCUAGACUUGAAUUAUUAGGAAGUAACUAAAUAUGUAGUGUAGCGGUGAAUGCUUAGAGAUACAU